UACAGAGGGGGCAAGCGUUAUUCGGAAUUAUUGGGCGUAAAGAGCGUGUAGGCGGCCAAGCAGGUCCGUUGUGAAAACUGGAGGCUUAACCUCCAGACGUCGACGGAAACCGCGCGGCUAGAGUCCGGAAGAGGAGAGUGGAAUUCCUGGUGUAGCGGUGAAAUGCGCAGAUAUCAGGAAGAACACCAAUGGCGAAGGCAGCUCUCUGGGACGGUACUGACGCUGAGACGCGAAAGCGUGGGGAGCGAACAGG
rnacentral:rRNA from 1 species